GACCGCGUAGCUCAGUUGGCAGAGCAUUGGGUUAGCAUUCCAAAGGUCGUAGGUUCGAUUCCCACCGUGCCCA
rnacentral:tRNA from 1 species